rnacentral:rRNA from 1 species
UACGAAGGGGGCUAGCGUUGCUCGGAAUUACUGGGCGUAAAGCGCACGUAGGCGGUUAGUUAAGUUGGAUGUGAAAGCCCCGGGCUCAACCUGGGAAUUGCAUUCAAAACUGGCUAACUAGAAUACGGGAGAGGGGGGUAGAAUUCCAAGUGUAGCGGUGAAAUGCGUAGAGAUUUGGAGGAAUACCAGUGGCGAAGGCGGCCCCCUGGCCCGAUAUUGACGCUGAGGUGCGAAAGCGUGGGGAGCAAACAGG